GAUGAACGCUGGCGGCGUGCCUAAUACAUGCAAGUCGAGCGAACAGACGAGGAGCUUGCUCCUCUGAUGUUAGCGGCGGACGGGUGAGUAACACGUGGAUAACCUACCUAUAAGACUGGGAUAACUUCGGGAAACCGGAGCUAAUACCGGAUAACAUGUUGAACCGCAUGGUUCAACAGUGAAAGACGGUUUUGCUGUCACUUAUAGAUGGAUCCGCGCCGCAUUAGCUAGUUGGUAAGGUAACGGCUUACCAAGGCAACGAUGCGUAGCCGACCUGAGAGGGUGAUCGGCCACACUGGAACUGAGACACGGUCCAGACUCCUACGGGAGGCAGCAGUAGGGAAUCUUCCGCAAUGGGCGAAAGCCUGACGGAGCAACGCCGCGUGAGUGAAGAAGGUCUUCGGAUCGUAAAACUCUGUUAUUAGGGAAGAACAAAUGUGUAAGUAACUAAGCACGUCUUGACGGUACCUAAUCAGAAAGCCACGGCUAACUACGUG
rnacentral:rRNA from 1 species